rnacentral:misc_RNA from 1 species
AUCGAAGCAAAAUCAUUUUGGCGCGGCAAACUGAGAUUCUGAGGUAUCUAAGGAGCUUCCUUCAUUGCAGUACCGAAGGUUGAGUAAGAAAAACCUUCUAAGGAGCUAAAUAACAACUUUCUGGUUCCCUUGGAGUCAAUGUGUCUGGUUCAUACCAAAAUAUUAUUUCUUUCUUCCAGCAUUUCUGGCUUCCAAGCUUGUUGGAAACUUCUGGGCGGUGAGAUCCCAAAAUCCAAUAACACAGAUUUAUCACAUAGUUUUAAG